ACAGGUUGAUCCUGCCUGUAGUGAUACGCUUGUCUAAAAGAUUAAGCCAUGCACGUCUAAGUUUAAGCAAUUAAACAGUGAAACUGCGAAUGGCUCAUUAUAUCAGUUAUAGCCUACUCGAUAGUACCUUACUACUUGGAUACCCGUAGUAAUUCUAGAGCUAAUACAUGCAUUAAAUACUCAUUCGAGUAGUAUUUAUUAGAUUGAAACCAAUGUAAAUGUUGAGUCAUAAUAACUGUGCGGAUCGUUCGUCGAGAGCGAUGAAUCGACUGGGUUUCUGCCCUAUCAGUUUUGGAUGGCUGUGUAUUGGACAGCCAUGACAUUGACGGGUAACGGAGGAUUAGGGUUCGACACCGGAGAGGGCGCCUGAGACACGGCGACCACAUCCAAGGAAGGCAGCAGGCGCGUAAAUUACCCAAUGCUAAUUCAGCGAGGUAGUGGCAAGAAAUAACGAUUUUCGGUCUUCAAGAUCGGAAAAUUGGAAUGAGAACAAUUUAAAUCCCUUAUCGAGGAUCAAUUGGAGGGCAAGUCUGGUGCCAGCAGCCGCGGUAAUUCCAGCUCCAAUAGCGUAUAUUAAAGUUGUUGCAGUUAAAAAGCUCGUAGUUGGAUUUAAGUUUGUUUGUGCGUUGUGAUCGUGAGAUGACGAUGCAUUGAGCAGACAUUAUUUGGGAUUUGGGGUUUCUUGGCAUACAGUUGUUGAGAUUCAACUGCCCAUCGUUUACUGUGAAAAAAUUAGAGUGUUUAAAGCAGGGGUUUUUCCUUUGGAUAUAUUAGCAUGGAAUAAUAAUAUAUGACUCGUAUGGUCUAUUUUGUUGGUUUGCACAUAUGAGUAAUGAUUAAUAGGGACAGUUGGGGGUAUUCAUAUUUGAGCGUCAGAGGUGAAAUUCUUGGAUCGCUGAAAGAUGAGCUAAGGCGAAAGCAUUUACCAAGGAUGUUUUCAUUAAUCAAGAACGAAAGUUAGGGGAUCGAAGAUGAUUAGAUACCAUCGUAGUCUUAACCGUAAACUAUGCCGACUCGGGAUGGUUAUGACGCUUUUUAGUCAUAGCUGCACCGUAAGAGAAAUCAAAGUCUUUGGGUUCCGGGGGAAGUAUGAUCGCAAGAUUGAAACUUAAAGGAAUUGACGGAAGGGCACUCCAAAUGUGGAACUUGCGGCUUAAUUUGACACAACACGGGGAAACUUACCAGGUCCAGACAUAAUAAGGAUUGACAGAUUGAGAGCUCUUUCUUGAUUUUAUGGGUGGUGGUGCAUGGCCGUUCUUAGUUGGUGGAGUGAUUUGUCUGGUUUAUUCCGUUAACGAACGAGACGUGUGUAUGUAGUUUAUUUGCUUGUCUUUUUGACGAGGCCAAGUACCC
rnacentral:rRNA from 1 species